rnacentral:rRNA from 1 species
CCCGCAACGAGCGCAACCCUUGCCAUUAUUGCCAUCAUUAAUUGGGCACUCUAAUGGGACUGCCGGUGACAACCGGAGAAGGUGGGGAUGACGUCAGUCCUCAUGGCCCUUAUGACCAGGGCUUCACACGUCAUACAAUGGUCGGUACAGAGGGUCGCGAAGCCGCGAGGUGGAGCCAAUCUCAUAAAACCGAUCGUAGUCCGGAUCGUCACUCUGCAACUUCUUUUGGCGUGAAGUCUGAAUCUC